UAUUAAAUAUUUUUAAAAAUAUUUUUCUACUUCAAAAUAAAAGCAGAGUGUGGCAACGCUACUUUAACUGUCACUUAAGAUGAUGUCUACUUUUAGGCACUGCGGCGAGCAGUUGUGCUUAGCAGUCAAAGUUGUCUGCAAGCAAAAAUUCACUGUUUAUUUGUUUUUAAAAUAAAAGUUAAUAAAAACACACCGUUAAAUUUUAUUAUUCAACAGAAUGAAAUGAAAUAUGUAAAAAAUGCGAGCAUAUGGUGCGUUUGUGUAAGAUUUGGAAGAAAAUAUGCCUAAGGCAAAUAUUUUUACGGAGAAGUGAGUAAGGAUAAGUGUAGCUAAAUUAAUAAAAAUUAAUAAAUUAUGCAAUUUGAAAGCAAAAUAUAUUUACAUAUGUAUAUAAAAAAAUUAUCAAUAUCCGCCAGCAAGCUUUGGAGAAUCAAUGAUAAGCGCUGAACAGUUCUGACGCCAGCGUCCGAGCGAGUGAAUGGCUGUAAUGCGCCGGCGCAGCCAGACAAGUGAAUGUCCCCGUUCUUAUUACAAGAAGUAAAUGCACGCAAAAGUGCAGUGAAGUGACAAACUAAUAUACAUACAUAAGUAUAUUUGCACAUACACACAAACACAUGUACAAAUAAGAAAUAUAAAAAAAUAAGCACUGAGUGAUGCCUCAUUUAAGCAAAAGCAGCUGUCUGAGUUUCUGGCGAAAGGUGCAAAGUUAGUUAGGAUUCAAUAUAAAAGUGCAUACAUACAUACACAUACACAUCUGUAUACAUAUAGUGUUAUUAGUAGUGCUCGUGCAAUAAUCAUAAAGUGAGUUAGUGAGUGAAUAGUGUGCAAAAAGCGGGUGACCUAUAAUUAGCGUGAUAAAACUUAUAGAGUCUAUAUGUAAACACACAUAUCUUUUGUGAAGAGUGCUAUUAAGUUGAAUUGGAACGCGUGAAGGAAAUUGUGCAAUAUUAAUUAAGCCGCAGAAGGCGAGCAUUUGCCGACAAUUACAUACAACCAAGACAAAGUUAUUGGAAGGAAACGCAGAGAAAAAUGUCAUUAAAGAAGGAGACUCCGUCCGAUGUGCUGUUGCAUCUGGCAGCGCUACGUGGCGAUGAAAUCAACCUGCGGCGCGUACUUGACAGCGGCAAAGUGCAUGUGGAUUGCAAAG